CCCUAAAAACUGCUCAGACAUCCAUCAGACAUCCAUCAGGCACGAUAUGCUUCUUUCACCACUAUAUUUGUGCUGUUUAAUCCCUGAUUGAAUCUUUAACCACCAUCCUGAUAAAGUGGCAACAUGUGCAAACUCACUCUAACUGCAAGUCUCUGUUUGAUCAUCGCCAGCUUAGGUUAUCCUGGCCUCACGGAUACAGCUGCAGUGCCGCCAAACUUCUGUAAUGGAAAGAGAAAUGGGCAAUACACCAACCCUGACGACCCAUAUUCUUUUUACAAUUGUUGGGAUAGAAGAACCUACCUCCAAUACUGCCCAUCAAGUCUGGUCUUUAACCAAAAAUGCAGCUGCUGUGACUAUCCUGUAACUCCACCUACCACAACUACAACUCCACCUACCACCAAAACAACUACUGCUGUGACUAUGCUGAAAACUCCAAUUGAUAACUUCUGUAAUGGAAAGAGCAAUGGGCAAUACACCAACCCUGCCGACUCACAUUCUUUUUACAAUUGUUGGGAUGGAAGAACCUACCUCCAAUACUGCCCAUCAAGUCUGGUCUUUAACCAAAAAUGCAACUGCUGUGACUAUCCUGUACCUCCACCUACCACAACUACAACUACAA